CAUUUCUGUCCUCCUUAGAUGCUUUCACACAAAAAGAACUUCGCAGUUUGACAUCUUCUAAUUUUUUGGUGGAAGUCAUCAACAAAAUUGUGGAAAUUUCGAGCUUUUUCCCAUUUGGUGGACAAACACUUUCAUACCGACUCUUGAGUGAACCGGUGAAAAUCCCUGCCUGCAACUUCCUACAACUUAAGAAGGAAGCAAAGCAAAGCAAAGCAAUUUCUCUCUCUUUGCGCUUACUUUAUAUAUAAAACCAGCGCGAGCUUCCCUCAGCUAAACGAACCCAGAAACAGUAUACAUAUGGCAUCCUCUGCCUUGCAUCCAGUGAAACAUGAUGUGUUCCUUAGUUUUAGAGGCGCAGAUACCCGUAACAAUUUUACUAGCCAUCUCUAUGGUGCUUUGCAUCGCCAAGGAAUUAUGACCUUUAUAGACAAUAGGCUUGACAGAGGGGAAGAGAUCGAGCCAGCAAUUUUGAAAUCAAUCCAAGACUCUGAAAGUUCAGUUAUUAUUUUCUAGAAAAAUUAUGCAGAUUCUCCAUGGUGCUUGGAUGAGCUUGUGAAGAUAUUGGAGUGCAAGGACAAACAAGGUAAUUCCUGUAUUUUACCAUGUUGAUCCAACUGAUUUAGACAACCAAACCGCAAGUUUUGAAGAGGCAUUUGUUAAGCACGACCAAGAUUUCAAGGAGAAUUCGGACAGGGUACAGAAGUGAAGAACCGCAUUGAGCAGAGCAGCCAAUAUUUCUGGGGAGGUUUUGACUGAGUCGUACACCAGAUGUAGACAACCGAGCUGCUAGUUUUGGAAGGGCAUUAAAAAAGCACGAGCAAGAUUUCAAGAAGAAUUCGGACAAGGUGCGGUAGUGGAGAACUGCGUCCACCAGAGCAGCUACUAUUUCUGGGGAGACCUUUACUAUUUUGAUAAUACUGAUGACUUUUUUUUUAUACUUUCUUGUUUUUAUUGGGACUCAAAUUCGAGACUUAUCACUAAAUUGAAGCUCAUUGAUAUAACACUAUUAAGUUAAUUUUUAAAAUAUGAUGAUUUGCUUAUA